UUGCCUGAAGUCCCUAGUACAUCGAGGGAACGAGGUCUUGGAGAAGUACUUUGUUGCUAAAUUCGAUGAAGAGUCGGCGUCGGUGGCGGGUGAGUCAAAGAUUGGUUUGGAUUUGGAACCUGUGUCCGAAGUUCCAGGGUAUGCGUCACAUCUAAGGGUUUCUUUUGUAAAGAUCCCGGAGUGUGGUACCAUUCAGUCAUUGGUAGUUAGUUCCUCGUUUGAAGAUGAAGAGAGACAAGGGUUGAUAGAUUCCGCAUUGAACAAGUAUUUUGGAACUGAUAGAGUACUCUCAAGAGGCGAUGUGUUUCGAGUUUGCACUGAGUGGAACUGUGGUUCAAGCAUUUGUGUUCAAUGUGGUCAAGGGUUAGGCUCCAAAGAAGAGGACUUUAUCUAUUUCAAGGUUGUUGCGAUGGAACCUUCUGAUGAGAGGUUUCUUCGAGUCCAUCACUCACAAACCGCUCCUCUUCAAGUAAGGAACCAACUAGGUUCGGUGCUCAGAAGAGCCGGAGCUAUAUGGAUUUAAGAGGCGCCUUAAUCGCAAUUAAGCGCGUAAUGUUUUUACUUAUAUAUUUCUAGUAUAGAAUAUGAUCAGUGUUUGAAACAUACUAUAUCUAGUGUUAAAAUAAAAAGAUUAUUGUCGUUUUUUCUAAAAAAAUACAUAAAAUGAAAAAUAAUUCGAUUCAAUUCGCUUGUGUAAUGCAAUAGCAAUUGUUAAGAAAUAAAAUCGUCUUUAAGUUUCAAAAAAAAAAAGAAAAGAUCGUCUUUGCAUAGUAAGUACUUACCUGGAAACAUAUAACUGGAAGAAAGAAUCUAAAUACAUUAUUGAAAAGUUGAUACAAGUCAAUAGCAUUGACCAAAAAAAAUAUAGUUAUUUUUGGGUAAAAUAUAUUUUUAACGCCGUCAGCAAAAUACUAAACCUUAAACCAUUGGAUAAUCCAUAAAACUUGGAUAAAUCCUAAACCCUAAAUCAAAAACAAUAAACAUUAAAUCUUGAAAACACUUAACACUUAGACCCUUGGAUUUAGUAUUUUUAAGAUUUAAUGUUUAGUCUUUUUGAUUUAGGAUUUAGAAUUUGUCCAAGAAUUUAAGGUUUAUCCAAGGGUUUAGGCUUUAUCCAAGGGUUUAGAGUUUAAGAUUUAAUGUUUUGACGAUGGUGUUAAAAAUAUUUUUAAAAAUAACUUCUUUUUUUGUAACUAGUACUAUUUUUAUUUAUUUUUACUUUAUUAUUUUUAAAUCAUGAUAAAAUUGAUAAUAUUUUAUUUUCUUUUUUAAAAAAUACUAAAUAUGAAAUAAUUAAUCUCUAUUAGUCGGUGAACUCUAGGAAGUGAACCCAAGAAUAACUCAAAAAAUAAAAUACAAGUCAAUAGCAAAGACUGGACAAAACACGAUCGCUCACAUUUCACAAACACACACUAUAUAUAGCUAUACAUACACACACUAUCACAAAUCAAACUCCCCAACCAAAAAAUAAUAAUUAUUCACUAUGCAAAUAAAUCAAAAUAUUGAAGUUUGAAGACUCUUGUUUUUUAAAUCAAGAAACCGAGUGUCGUCUUUUUCUCUGAAACAAGAAACGGCUCUCAGUACUUGCCUUUCCCUUCAAAGAAGGUUUAAGACUAGCGAAGCUGAAAAGAGAAUUGAGUUUGCUUAUCUUUUUAGCAAAAGACUUGAAAAGCUUAGUCCCUGGAUUAGUUUUAACGAGUUCUUGUCUAAUAGAGAUGUGAUCUUUCUCUAGAUCCGUUAAUCUCAUCCUCAUCCUCGCCACUUCAAGCUUUAACUCUCUGUUUUCUCUCCUCACUGACGCAUAGUUAUCUCUUGGUGAUAUCGCUCCACUUCCUUGUGAUCCAAGCCAACCAAACAAACAACCAUGAAUUAGCAUAGACGAAUAAAGGCUAAAUCAUACUAUAUACUCCCUCUAUUUAUCAAAGAAAGUCAUUUUUGAAACAUUUAAGGCGGAUUAAAAAAAAUACAAAAUACACUAAUAUUUUUAUUUAAUUUACGAUUAAUUAAAUGGUAAUAAUUUAAUUAAAAAUCUAUUGGUCAUUUAAAAGAGAAAAAUAGAUUUAAUAUGUAAAAUCACAUUGGAAAUGUAUUAAAAAAAUGAUAGUUUUUGUGAAACAUGAGUAUAGAAAGACUAUACAUUAUACAAUGCUGAGGGGUUAUGAAGUAAAAUUACCUGCUCCACUUCCUCCCCGUUGGGGAAACUGAUGACAGUUACCACUGAAUAGAAACUGAGUAGGACUAAUGCUACUGCUCAUUGCGUUUCUGAGUCUAAUCUGCUCAAAGUACAACACUUGUACCGCCAUUUGCACUGGUAACCUCUCGUUUUGCGCUGCAUGGCUACAAGCUUCUUGUGACAGUUUCUGUGAAUCUAUCGUCUUACAAAGUCGGUAGCGCUCUGAAUCCUUUAUAUUCGGAUGUACCUAUCAAAAAUAAAUAAAACCAAUAUUCAAAAUAUCUUUAGACAUAACUAAACGUUUCGAUACUAGGUGUAUUCCUCCGAUUAUAAGUAGGACCUAGUCGUAAACAAAUUAGAUGUUUUAAUUUUAAGUUUAAUUAUAAAAUUAUUUUGAUGAAUUAUAAAAUUUAUAUAUACACAAAAUAAUAAAUUAGAUAAACUUGUGCAUUUAAAUUACAUUUAUUGGUUGGUUUGAUAUAUUUAGACAUAUUUAGAUGUGCACAAAAAGACCAAUGUAGAUUAAUUAAAACAUAUUAAACUAAUUUUAACCGGUUUUGAACGGUUUAAACCGUGGUGAGGCGCAUUAAUAAGAAAAUCGUUUCAGUUACAACCGACUUAAGUGGCCUCAACCCAUUUAUAAAACAUUAAAUAAAACAAUAUGUGAACUGGCUAAUUUAUAAAAUGAGAGAAAGGUUCAAGAGGUUUUUACUUUGAGGUAAAUGUCAACGGCUCGAUAAAGACCAUCACUGAUGAUACGAGCAUGAUCUGGCAAGAGCUCAGCUAAAGCUAUGAACUUCGACGUUGUUAGAUUCGUAUCCAAAGCUAUCUCCGCUAGAUAGUUAUCCAUCAGCUUCGAUACUUUCAAGAUCGAGCUCUGUUUUGGAGAUCCAGGACUGUCGAAAUCGAAAAUCAUCUCUGUUUCAUCACCAAACCGGUUACGAUGAUGUCGAUCUUCUUCUUCAUCAUCGUCUUCUUCGUCUAGAUUCAAGAAUAUAGAGAAGAUUCUCAAGAUAGAAUCAAUGUCGUACAUCGUGUUGUUGACUCCGUUAGGGCUUGUCGGAAUCAAGACAUCUUCGAGGAUGGCUUGGUCUAGCUGAAGACCGAUCCUUCGCUCUAAAUCUGAUCGACAUGAUCUUAUAGAAGCAGAGGAUGAUGAUGUUGCGAUAACCAUUUUGAGAAGACUUGAAAGAAACGCUAUUGGAACAGAGCUUUUUCUUCCUUGCGUGGGAAGUAACCUAACGAUUGUUUCUACAAUCAUUCUCUGUUUCUUCUUUGCUUCUGAAUCGAUAACCCUUUCUUUGUCAAGCUUUGUAUCCCUAACUAUUAGCCCUUGAAGUGACUUAUUCGUGUAACUGAUGAGAAUCUUGCUGAUCACGUCUUGUCUUAACCCUUUUGACCUAACCGCAGAGACAACUCUCUGGAAGAACUCAAGAUUCAAAACAGCUACCGACUUCCCCCACCAGUCUAGUGGAGUCUCUGGCUCCAUAUUCGCACCCGAAAACGUAUAAUCGAGCUUUAAUAGACCCGAGGUGAGCUGCUCUUUGCAGGCGUUGUUGGCGAUUGCUAUGACCAAACGGUUCACCAAGUUGAGAUCUUCAGAGACUGGUGUAAGGGCUUCACAGUGAUGUAGAACGAGUAUGGAGUUAGAGAUACUUGGGAGGACCGUUUCUUUGAAGUAAUGUUCUGUUUUGAUAGCGAGAUUGUCCUCUGAGAAGUCCUCAGCCAUCUCUAGGUAAUGAGAUGCACAACGAAGCUUAGCUACGUUGAGAAGGUUGAUCUCAAUGUUGAUUCCAUAGCAGAACUUAGCUGCUAGCUCAAAGGCCUCAGAUCCUCCAGGAACACUCGAGAGACAUAUGUUGAAGGUUUUGGAAUCUGUAAGAAGCUUCCUGAUCUUUCCACUCCGAGAAACAAGAGGAAACUGAGAACACCAAACCAACAAGCAAAAAAAGUUCAAAACUAUAUAACUCAAGAAACAGAGGAUCCUCUGUUUUGGUAUAGAUGCUCUGUUUUUAGGUUUUGUGUUUGCUUAUUUUUACCUUAUGAAGACAGAAACUUGAAGAUCCAACUUGAACUGUAAGAUCACUAGAGACUUCAGAUAUUGGCCUGCAAGAACACAUAAACAAACCCAUUAAGAUUCUGAAGAUUUUUCAAUAAUGAUUUUCUGAAUUAUUGAAGCAAAAGAUCUGUGUGGACUUGAAUUUGAUGAUCAUGUAAGAGCUGCUUGUGUCUUCCAUGACUCCAACGCUAAGAUUCUAGGAUAAGGAAACAGUAAAAUCUAUCAUCUAAAAUAGUGUGUGUGUUUUCCUUGGUUUUGAGGCCAUUUUUAGAUUCACAGUUGAGACAUGUAAAAGGUUAUGUCAACAUCAAACUUUUCAAAUGAAGACAGAACCAAAUGAAGUGUGAUUGUACGGAUAUGUUCCACAUAGAUACAAAAUAGGAUGGAGAAAUUAUUGGUUUUUGAUGAACAGUGAGAGAUUGUGACAAUAAAUGACUUGUGGCUACAGAGAUUCACAUCACAUACAAAAAGAUUUGGAUCUUUAUUAGCUAAAUUUUUCAUGGGAAAGAACAAAUCUCUUAUUCGUUUUUCUGACAUGUUUCUAGUGAAUGCAGACAAAACUAAAAUGGUAAUCAUAAAUUACAAUACUAUAUAUAUUACCAUUCAGAGGCAUGUCUGAUGCUUGAGUUCAGACGAAACCCUCUCUUUCCUGUGAAAGUUGGCUUCACUUCUCCUACUGUAGAAAGUCCCAUCUCUCUCUCUUCACAGAAGAAGAAGAAGAAGAGCUCUUGUGGUUGUUAUUACAAGGAGUGUACGUAGUUAAUGAUGCAAAAAGGUACAGAAAAAAAGAGUUUUGAUAUCUUUGGUUAAUUAAUCUGUUAAUUACGUGUAAAGCUGAGGUCAUUAUUAUGAUACAUGAAAUUAAGUUAGUGAAAACAAAUGCAUGUAUAUACAUUAAUUGCUACUAGUGUUCUUUGAUGUAUGAGAUGCAUUUCAAUCUCAUUAUUAUGGGCUAAGGCAUCUAUUUUUCUCUUGUUGAUCCUGUGGUAAUUGUAAUGAUUACUUAUAAUUUCAUGAUUAUGUCCACUCUUGGUUGCCUUCAACUAACCGAAAUUAAUUUUUCAUUUUACAUUCUCUGCUCAAAAAAUUAUUGAUAAACUAUUUAAAACCUAUUUACAAACAAUACCAUACUGAAACGAUUUUUAACAGCAAAAAGUUAACACUAAAUUAUUUUAUUGCAUAGUGUUUUAUCUACUAAUGUGAUAAUAUCCAGUGGUGGUUUUUUUUUUGUAAUGCAAAAUUCUAUUUAUAAAUUUUAUAAGAGGAUAUGUAUUGUGUCAUGUGAAUUAUUUGGCGAGACCAAGCUUUAAGCUCACUCCAUGCUUUAAUUUUUGAAUAUGUAUUGUUUAAUGUGUGGUCCAAAAAAAUGUUAGAUGAUUUCUUGCUUUGGUUAUGAAAAUGAAAGAAAUAAAGAAUUAGAAAAGCUGUAGUGAUUCCUAGUGAUUACACCGAUUGAGAUUUAUACUUAGCUUUAAGGCUGUGUUAAUGUGUUAUGUAAUGAUGUUAGGCUGAUCGAUUAAUCUCGAGCCCCUCGAAACAUAAUAUAUAAUUUUAUGGUAAUUAUGAAAAAUUAAUCUAUUGUUGGAUUAGUUACAUUACGUAUGAAUAUAUGAUAAGCUUUUUGUGAGUUUGAUUGUGCAAGGUUGACCAAUAGAUUAGUGAUAAAAAAAAAUUAUCACAAGAUAUAGUGGUAUUAAAAAAAAAACAGUUUACCAAACAAAACAGUGAUUUUUUUAGUACUAAUUGUUGGCUAAGAUUGGUUGGUUCUGUCAGAAUGUAUAAUAGUCCAUCGAAAAUGUAAAGCUGUUAAAAGAUUUGGACUCAAAUGCAAACAAAAAAAAAACAAAUUUUGUGACGGCGCGUCAGGCUCCGAGCAUUAUCUGAUCCUCUUCUUCCUCCUCGGUUCGCGUAUUCGAAUCUCUUCAACGGGAGCUCCAAGCUUCUAAUGGAAAAUUAGGGCUUUUCAAUUUCUUUUUGAGUUUCCGUUGCGAUGGUUGAGAGACGGAGUCCUCUGGUGCUCUCAUCCACCAGAGCCACACUCCGUUCAGUCCUGAAUUCGUUUCGACCCGACGAGAUUCCGGGAAGACCCGAUUCGAUACGGCGGAGCGUUAGGUUGCCAGCUGGCGUGCUCAGAUGGAAACGAGACGGAGUAAAUGAUUCAAAGUUUGAUUCUUUAGAUGACUCUUCACUGGUCGGACUCUCGACUCAAUUGCUCAAGAGACUAUCCAUCAACUCUGGCUCUUUCGUAAGUCUUUAGUGUAAAAAAAUGGAUCUUUUAUUGUAAAAAUGGGUGCUUUAUUGUAAAAAUGGAUGCUUUAUUGUGAGUUUUGAUGUUAACAUUUGAGUAUUUUUAUAUUGCAAGGUUGUUAUCAACAACAUCGACAUAGGCAUUCAACGGGUUGCGCAAGUUGUUGUACUUGAUCCUCCCAAUAAGACGCUGGAAGAUUCAUCUGUCACUAGCUUACCAGUUUCGGACUCUCUUCACACAAUGCUUGUCUUUCCCACUUUUGAUACGAUGAGUCAACAGUUACUAGACCAAGAGGUUGCUUACUUGUCUCCUAUGUUAGCUUUUAAUCUUAGCUUGCACAUGUCUUGCCUGAAGUCCCUAGUACAUCGAGGGAACGAGGUCUUGGAGAAGUACUUUGUUGCUAAAUUCGAUGAAGAGUCGGCGUCGGUGGCGGGUGAGUCAAAGAUUGGUUUGGAUUUGGAACCUGUGUCCGAAGUUCCAGGGUAUGCGUCACAUCUAAGGGUUUCUUUUGUAAAGAUCCCGGAGUGUGGUACCAUUCAGUCAUUGGUAGUUAGUUCCUCGUUUGAAGAUGAAGAGAGACAAGGG
rnacentral:lncRNA from 1 species